UGCUGUCGCAACUCCUAUUCCUACCUCCACGUGGUGCCGACCGGGGUACAGGGGGCAAUGGGACCCUGUACGCUAACAGGAAAGG
rnacentral:ribozyme from 1 species